rnacentral:rRNA from 1 species
GACUGACCGAUAGUGAACCAGUACCGUGAGGGAAAGGCGAAAAGAACCCCGGCGAGGGGAGUGAAAAAGAACCUGAAACCGUGUACGUACAAGCAGUGGGAGCACAGGUUUACCUGUGUGACUGCGUACCUUUUGUAUAAUGGGUCAGCGACUUAUAUUCUGUAGCAAGGUUAACCGAAUAGGGGAGCCGGAGGGAAACCGAGUCUUAAUUGGGCGUUAAGUUGCAGGGUAUAGACCCGAAACCCGGUGAUCUAGCCAUGGGCAGGUUGAAGGUUGGGUAACACUAACUGGAGGACCGAACCGACUAAUGUUGA